rnacentral:lncRNA from 1 species
CUCCUGCGAGGCGGAACGCAGCGGGGCGCAGGGCGGCAGGCGGGCAAGGGUCAAUGGACAGCAGCGGCAUAGAAACAACAACAAGCAGUUAGGGCAAGCCAACCGACGCCGUAGCCUAGAUUCCCCAACCCUUUACCCAAUCCUUCAACGACCACAAACCCGCCCUGCUUUCGCCCCGCCACUGACGGGCCCUCGCCCCUCGUCCCCCUGCGCCCGCAGCAAGCCCCCAACUCACGUCGGCCUGCAGCUCGUAGUCGGACUGGCUGAUCCACGUGCCGUUGAAGGUGUUGGUCUCAAUGAUGUCCGCGCCAGCCUCCAGGUACGCCGUGUGGAUCUUGCUAAUCACAUCGGGCCGCGUGAUCACCAGCAAGUCGUUGUUGCCCUUGAGCUCGUGGCUGUGCUUGGCGUAGCGCUCGCCGCGGAAAUCCUCCUCCUCCAGCGUGAACUUCUGGAUCUGGGUGCCCAUGGCGCCGUCAAUGAAGAUGAUGCGCUCACGCAUCAGCUUGUCCAGCGGCACAAACGCGGCAGUCGGCUUCACGCCGUCCUUCCACGCCUUGUACUUGGGCACCGGCGCCGGCUUGGCGUCCGGCGCCAGCUGGUCCUUGCCCGCCGGGAUGGGGUUGAGGCGGGGAGUGAUCUUGGGGCCGCUGCUGGCACCUCCCAGGCGCACCACAGCGGUGGGCUUGCUCUUGGGGUCGAGGGUAGCGGCGUACUCCAGCAUGCGCUCGGUCGAGUCCUGGCGCCUGUGCAUCGGUGCAACCACGUGGGAAGAGCCGCAAGAACAUCAGCGCAAGACACAUCGUACCACUGUACCUGGUAACCCAAGUGGAGUCACUGUCGCACGGAAGCCAAAAUGCAUUCCCGGCGGCCAACCAAAAGGCGCAGGUACAACUUCGCAUGCCGCCCGAUCCCUUAUGGGCCACGUCCCACGUUCCGCAGGCUUGUCAACAGCUCCAUUCAGUCCCGCCCCGCCCCGUCCCCCGGGCCCCAGCCCCCCCCCCCCCGGCCCACCUGUUGAGCAGCACGUCCUCCACGAACUCCAGCAGCUCCUUGUCGAUCUUGCUGUACUCGUCCUCCUUCACCUGGGGCCCCGCCCCGUCCCCCGGGCCCCAGCCCCCCCCCCCCCGGCCCACCUGUUGAGCAGCACGUCCUCCACGAACUCCAGCAGCUCCUUGUCGAUCUUGCUGUACUCGUCCUCCUUCACCUGGGCCGCGUUCACAAUGCCCAUGUCCAUGCCAGCCAGGCACGCGUGGUGCAGGAAAGCGCUGUGGAACGCGCGGCGCACAGCCUCGUUGCCGCGGAAGCUGAAAGCAAUGUUGCUCACGCCGCCGCUGAUCUUCGCGCCAGGGCAGCAGCGCUUAAUUUCGCGGGUAGCGCGGAUGAAGUCGACGGCAUAGUUGUUGUGCUCCGGCAGGCCGGUGCCGAUGGUCAGGAUGUUGGGGUCGAAGAUGAUGUCCUGAGGGUCAAAGCCCACCUCCUUCACCAGGAUGCGGUAAGCGCGGCUGCAGAUGCGGACCUUGUCUUCGUAGCUCGCCGCCUGGCCCUGCUCAUCGAACGCCAUCACCACCACCGCGGCGCCGUGGCGCUUGACCUCCUCCGCCUGGUGCUUGAACGCCGCCUCGCCCUCCUUCAGACUGAUGCUGUUCACAAUGCACUUGCCCUGGCUGCACUUCAGGCCGGCCUCCACAAUGUGGAACUUGCUGCUGUCAAUCAUGAACGGCACGCGGCUGAUCUCGGGGUCGCUGACCAGCAGGUUGACGAAGCGGGUCAUGGCGCCCACGCCCUCAAUCAGGCCGUCGUCCAUGUUAAUGUCCAGCACGUCCGCGCCCUGCUGCACCUGCUUCAGCGCGAUGGCCACGGCGGUGUCGAAGUCGUUGUUGAUGAUGGCCUUCUUGAACAGGAUGCUGCCCGCCACGUUGCAGCGCUCGCCAAUGUUGAGGAAGGUGCGGCGCAUGUUGGAGGCGUCGGGCGUGUAGUUCAGCGGCUCCAGGCCGCUCAGGCGCAUCAGCGGCGGCACGGUCACAGGCUUGCGCGGCUUGUAGGCGGACGCCAUCUUCUUGAUGGCGGCAAUGUGCUCCGGCCCAGUGCCGCAGCAGCCGCCAAUGGCAUUCACCAGGUUGCCCUCGCAGAAGGGCCGAAUCUCCUCCGCCAUCUCAUCGCCCUUCUGGUCGUAGCCGCCCAUGGCGUUGGGCAGGCCGGCGUUGGGGUAGCAGAACACGUAGCAGUCGGCGCAGGCGGCCAGGUUGGCCACGUACUUGAGCAUGUCCUUGGCGCCCAGCGCGCAGUUCAGGCCCACUGCCAUGGGCUUGGCGUGGCGGAUGCUGUUCCAGAACGCCUCGUUGGUCUGGCCGCUCAGCGUGCGGCCGCUGUUGUCCACGAUGGUGCCACUCACAAACACCGGCAGCCGCAUGCCCUUGUCGGAGAAGAACUUCUCCAGUGCGUACAUGGCGGCCUUGGCGUUCAGCGUGUCGAAGAUGGUCUCCACCAGGAACAUGUCCACGCCGCCCUCCACCAGCGCCUCCGCCUGCUUAUAGUAGGCGUCCACCACCUCGUCAUAGGUGAUGCCGCGGAAUGCAGGGUUCUCGACGCUGGGCGACACGCUCAGCGUCUUGUUGGUGGGGCCGAUGGCGCCGGCCACAAAGCGCGGGCCGCUGCCGGGGUUCUUGGCCAGGAAGUCGGCCACGCACUUCUUCGCCAGCUGCGCGGCCGUGCGGUUGAUCAGAGCCACCUCCUCCUGCGAGGCGGAACGCGGCGGGGCGCAGGGCGGCAGGCGGGCAAGGGUCAAUGGACAGCAGCGGCAUAGAAACAACAACAAGCGUUCACCCCAAGCCAACGGACGCGGUAGCCUUAAUCCCCCGACCCUGUCCCGAUCCAUCAACGACCACAAACCGGCCCGCUUGCCUCUGCUGCAGCCGCAACUGGCUGCAUGUGCUUCAAGCAGACGAACGAGCCUACAACCCCAGCCCUGCUCUCGCCCCAUCAGCUCGCCCCAACCCCAUCAGCCCGCCCCAACCCCAUCAGCCCGCCCAACCGCGAUGGCCCUGGUCCCUCCUCCCCCUGCGCCCGCACCAAGCUCCCGACUCACGUCGGCCUGCAGCUCGUAGUCCGACUGGCUGAUCCACGUGCCGUUGAAGGUGUUGGUCUCAAUGAUGUCCGCGCCAGCCUCCAGGUACGCCGUGUGGAUCUUGCUGAUCACAUCGGGCCGCGUGAUCACCAGCAAGUCGUUGUUGCCCUUGAGCUCGUGGCUGUGCUUGGCGUAGCGCUCGCCGCGGAAAUCCUCCUCCUCCAGCGUGAACUUCUGGAUCUGGGUGCCCAUGGC